rnacentral:sRNA from 1 species
UUUUUUUUGUCUAAAACAUCAAUCGGUGACUAUAAAGAUGAAUAGAUCGUGGCAAAAAAACGACUGUGAUGCGUGGUGAGAGCGCAACCGUCGUUCAGUUUAGAUUUUCUGAUUUUUGAAUAUCUAAUUGAAAAUUAGUA